rnacentral:lncRNA from 1 species
AGAUCCACACAAAGAGGGUGUCCUGUAAGGCCCCCAUAAAUCAACGUGAACCAAUUCAAAUAAACGACUAGCUUUACUAUUGCUAAUUGGAAAACUAUUCCUAUGUUGUUUAGCACGAGGACAAACAUCACAGGAUUUAUUUUUAAUGUCUCUAGCAGAACCACUCACAAACGGAAGAUGUUGUAGAACUCUUCCCGACGGAUGUCCCAACCGUUGAUGCCAUAACUCUGCAGAACUACUUCGAUCAAUCUUCAAAGCUUUCACCCCUGGAACCCCGCGGAAAUAAUAAAGUNNNNNNNNNNNNNNNNNNNNNNNNNNNNNNNNNNNNNGACGGAGGUCCCAACCGUUGAUGCCAUAACUCUGCAGAACGACUUCGAUCAAUCUUCAAAGCUUUCAUCCUUGGAAUACCGCGGAAAUAAUAAAGUCCUUCCACCCGAUCACCCACUCCAAUCACCUUCCUCGUCGCUAGGUCCUGUAUAACACACAAUUUUUUAGUGAAUUGCAUAGUACAAUUUGAUUCAUCACAUAAUUGCGAAGCAGAGAUUAAAUUGCAGUUUAAAUCUGGAACAUAGAGGACAUUUUUAAUAGUCAAUCCUCCUUCCAGUUCCACCGAACCCAUCAAAGAAGCAUUUGCAUAUUUGCCAUCCGGUAAACCUACCGGAUAAUGAGACACAUGGACCACAUUAAUCAAAAGAGACGCAUCAUAUGUUACAUGAUUUGACGCGCCGGUGUCGAUUAUCCAAUCAACACCCUGCUUACCAUGGAGUUUUGGCUUGAGAGAAUUAAGAUGGUCUAGGAGUUGCUGAACCUGAGCCGCGGAAACCCCUGCAAGAGCUGAGCCAUCAGCGUGAGUAGCAGGCUGCGUACCUGGAGCAGCAGACCCUCCUGUCUUGUUUGCACGAGCAGGAGGUGUUCGUAGUCCGCGACCUUUGAGUAGGAGCAGCACCUUGCGUUCCAUGAGCGGCAGACCCUCCUGUCUUGUUUGCACGGGCAGGAGGUGUUCCCUUUCCACGAC